GACGAACGCUGGCGGCGUGCUUAACACAUGCAAGUCGAACGGAAAGGCCCUGCUUUUGUGGGGUGCUCGAGUGGCGAACGGGUGAGUAACACGUGAGUAACCUGCCCUGGACUUUGGGAUAACCGCAGGAAACUGGGGAUAAUACCGGAUAGGAGCUCCUGCUGCAUGGUGGGGGUUGGAAAGUUUCGGAGGUUGGGGAUGGACUCGCGGCUUAUCAGCUUGUUGGGGGGGUAGUGGCUUACCAAGGCAUUGACGGGUAGCCGGCCUGAGAGGGGGACCGGCCACAUUGGGACUGAGAUACGGCCCAGUCUCCUACGGGAGGCAGCAGUGGGGAAUAUUGCACAAUGGGCGGAAGCCUGAUGCAGCAACGCCGCGUGCGGGAUGACGGCCUUCGGGUUGUAAACCGCUUUCGCCUGUGACGAAGCGUGAGUGACGGUAAUGGGUAAAGAAGCACCGGCUAACUACGUG
rnacentral:rRNA from 1 species